rnacentral:rRNA from 1 species
UACGAAGGGGGCUAGCGUUGCUCGGAAUCACUGGGCGUAAAGGGCGCGUAGGCGGCCAUUCAAGUCGGGGGUGAAAGCCUGUGGCUCAACCACAGAAUUGCCUUCGAUACUGUUUGGCUUGAGUUUGGUAGAGGUUGGUGGAACUGCGAGUGUAGAGGUGAAAUUCGUAGAUAUUCGCAAGAACACCAGUGGCGAAGGCGGCCAACUGGACCAACACUGACGCUGAGG